rfam:Populus trichocarpa scaffold_16_contig_259, whole genome shotgun sequence.
CUGUCCCCCGGAGUUUCCCUGACCACUUCACUGGGGCUAUAAUUCUACUCUUCGUGUUUAAGGGUAGAGGCAACCCUUCCUCACUGAAGUGUUUGGGGGAACUCUGGGUGGCAU